AUUGAACGCUGGCGGCAUGCCUUACACAUGCAAGUCGAACGGCAGCACGGGAGCAAUCCUGGUGGCGAGUGGCGAACGGGUGAGUAAAGUAUCGGAACGUGCCCAAUCGUGGGGGAUAACGUAGCGAAAGUUACGCUAAUACCGCAUACGAUCUAUGGAUGAAAGCGGGGGAUCGCAAGACCUCGCGCGAUUGGAGCGGCCGGUAUCAGAUUAGGUAGUUGGUGGGGUAAAGGCUCACCAAGCCGACGAUCUGUAGCUGGUCUGAGAGGACGACCAGCCACACUGGGACUGAGACACGGCCCAGACUCCUACGGGAGGCAGCAGUGGGGAAUGUUGGACAAUGGGCGAAAGCCUGAUCCAGCCAUGCCGCGUGCAGGAUGAAGGCCUUCGGGUUGUAAACUGCUUUUGUACGGAACGAAAAGGUUUGGCCUAAUAAGCUGAGCUCAUGACGGUACCGUAAGAAUAAGCACCGGCUAACUACGUGCCAGCAGCCGCCGCGG
rnacentral:rRNA from 1 species